rnacentral:lncRNA from 1 species
CAAAAGGCAUAAGCAUUCUAGUUAGUGAGAUUGUAAGUCUCCCCUCUUCCAUGGUAUUGUGUGGAAACUUGGCCUUCUUUCCUUCCUUUGGAAGAUAUUUUGGUUCAAGGAUCCAUGCUUGUGGCAAGUGGGUUGAGUGUUCUCCAAAGAAUGUCUUGAAAUCAAAAAAGCAAAACAAAACUAACUACUAACUUACUAACCAUUAACUUUUACUUUCAAGCUUUUACUU